AGCUUGACACUGAACAUUGAGCCUUGAUGUGUAGGAUAGGUGGGAGGCUUUGAAGCGUGGACGCCAGUCUGCGUGGAGCCAACCUUGAAAUACCACCCUUUAAUGUUUGAUGUUCUAACGUAGACCCGUAAUCCGGGUUGCGGACAGUGUCUGGUGGGUAGUUUGACUGGGGCGGUCUCCUCCCAAAGAGUAACGGAGGAGCACGAAGGUUAGCUAAUCCUGGUCGGACAUCAGGAGGUUAGUGCAAUG
rnacentral:rRNA from 1 species